rnacentral:misc_RNA from 1 species
UGUUGCAAGUUUUGAGGGAAAUUUUCCAAGCAGGAUCAAGCAACUCCCUUUGGAUAGGCACUUUGACAUGAACAAUGUCAAAAGGAUUGUUCUUGAAGCGGAUGGUUAUCAACCUUAUCUUAUAUCUCCAGAGAAAGGGUUAAGGUCCUUAAUAAAAGGUGUUCUAGAGCUGGCUAAGGAGCCUGCACGUCUAUGUGUGGAUGAGGUGCAUCGUGUGCUGGUGGAUAUAGUGUCUGCUUCAGCAAAUGCAACCCCUGGUCUAGGAAGAUAUGCUCCCUUUAAGAGAGAGAUUGUGGCAAUUGCUAGUGCUGCACUUGAUGGGUUUAAGAAUGAAGCGAAAAAGAUGGUGGUUGCCCUGGUGGAUAUGGAGCGUGCUUUUGUUCCACCUCAGCACUUCAUCCGAUUGGUGCAGAGGCGAAUGGAUAGGCAGCGCCGUGAGGAAGAGAUCAAGAAUAAAUCCUCCAAGAAGGCAAAUGAAGCAGAGCAAUCCUUACUAAACAGGGCAACUAGUCCUCAAACUGGAGCCCAGCAGUCUGGAGGAAGC